CUGCCCGCGGCCCGGCCCCCCCUCCGCUGCUCCCCCCGCCAUUCUCCGGACCUCUUGGGUCACCCUUUCCCCUCGACCAGCCGCGCUUUCCCCUUCUCCCCACCCUUAUCUGAUUUCGGUGACUUUCCGCCCCGAGCUGCGUGCUGUCCGCGGCUCGCUGAUUCAGUCCCCCCGGCUGUGGGCCCAUUUUACAGCUCUGAGAGGUCAGGGGAUCGCCAAGAGUGACCAAGCUGCCACACCACAGGGAUUGAUUGGGACAGGGCCCAGGCCUGGUCGUCCAGCGAAGCCGCAUCCUCCUGGCUGCAUGACCUCACCCACGUUGAGCCAACCAUAGUGUCUCCCAGCUGCUGGAAAUCUGGAUUUGAGCUUGAGGGGAUCAGACGCUGGGGUCACUGGGCACCACCAUAUGGAGACUGAGCGUGAGGACAGUACAGCAGAAGCAAAGCCGAGAGAUGGAGAGAAAUCAGGAGUUCCAGAUGAAGUCACCGCGAGUGGGAUUUCGUUUCCUUGACAGAUCCACGGGCUGCAAGUCAAGGAUUACUCUAUAGCUCAGGUCACUGAGAUCCAGAAACUUCUCUUAGGGCCACACACCAUUAGCUGAGCCAGGACCAGGGUUUAGUCUUCAUUCCUAAUCUGACAGGCUCCUCCCUGAGACCUGGCCGUCUCCAUAAGCAAGCUUGGCAGGGUGGCUGCAUGAGCCCUACACACAGGAGCCUCUGAAAGCCAGGCUAGAGACCGCCAGGAUGACCUCCUGUCCGCAGUGCCUCCAAGGCACAGAUGGAUUAAUGUGGGACAGAUGAGCCACCCCCUCUCCAAGCAGCAAGUAACCGCAGGGCUUCUCUGUCCCCUGAUGUUCAUGUAAACGUUUUAGUCUGACCAGCGGCCAGGCCACAACCUAUACAGACACACUCAUCACCUUGCUAGCAUCGUCACACCAAAAAUUACUUACCUCUUGCUUGCCACUGAGUCCUAAGCAAUACAGGUUCAUCUCUUUGAACCCCAGGUUCUCCCCGUUUCUGAAGACCCCACUGACCUACAGAUUCAAUCGGCAGAUCCUUAUUGUGUGCCGACUCCAGCCAAGCACUGCACUAGUUGAUUGGGAACACAAAAAGGAAGCAUCAGCACUUGUGUAUUUGACAAAGGUUUACUGAGCCAAGCACCGUGUGCCAGCCACAUUUCAAAGGCUGGUGGAUGCAGCCAGCAGCGAAUUCACAAGAGAGUCUGUUGUCCUCGUGGCACCUAUGGUGUGGUAGAGGGAUAUGACGAGGCAGUGGGUCGUAAUUGCUUUUGGUCACUCAACCUUGCUGAAUAUUAGCUCCUGAUUCCCCAUUUGUGUAGGGAGAAGCUGGGGGCAGAGCAAGAAUGACGAGCCCAGGAGCCACUAAAUAGUAGAGUCAGGAUUCAAAUCCCAUCCCGCUGACUCCAGAGACCUGCAUUAUCACCAGUGUAUGCUGCCUCGCAAAGUCAGUGAGUUCAUAUUGUCUGAGUGUGGGUACAAUUCCAACCACGUCCAAUUGCUCCUUUUCUCCCAGAAAUAAGAAUUGUGAACGUGGGAACCCAGAGACAGGCAACACUACUGCGGUGAAUUUCUUCGCACUGCUAAUGUCCCGAUGAGAUGACCGCUUGUCUUCCACUUACCUGUAAUCCCAGAGAUUCUCUUCUUGCCCCUUGCAGUCUGAUUCUCGGCUGUUCAUUAUAUCCUGCAGGCCGCCCAUAUACGUCCAGUAAGCUCCCCUCCAGGCUCAGUUGGAGUCUGUUUCGGUUGCACACCAGCAGAAGACCUAACAGAUACAGAAAGUCCACAAUUACCUGCCACACGUAACAAAGACCAGGGGCUUGGGGCUUCCUAGCUGUGUGCAAGAGCCAAAGGAAAUUUGGACCUAGGGGAAGGUAUUUGUGCAAAGGGGGAGAGAGCUCCGGGUACAGGAGGAGACAGGCUGCAAGUCAAAUAUGUCAGCAGUCCUAGGGUGCAUAUUUUCAUCUCAAUCACUGAGGGAAAAAAAAUUGGUUUGGGCUCCUAUCUGGCACUUUCUCCUUCUUCCCUUGGAUGUGAAGAUUGCAUGCUUGCAGGGAGCAGACCACCAGUGGUGUCUCACAUGGGGUUCAGACAGACAUCAAAGUUAAUCCGCUCUCUGAUCUAAGCAAAAUGGUGAUGAGGGUUUCUUGGGACAGCAGCUCCACUAAUUGUGGCACCGCAGCCCGGCUGAUGUAUUUUUAGAAUAUUGUGGAUUUUCACAUAGUAUCAUUGCUUUCUGCAGGAAAACUGUCAGACUAGAAGCUGGGGGUUUGGAAUACAGUGGUAUCUAAUGCAGGGUCCCCUGGACCUGAACUUUUAAGAAUAAGAAAAUAAGUAAACACUUUCCUUUUUUUAUCAGGCGCUGUGACUCUCUGCCCACUCAUCUGUAUGAAUGUUUCCAAUUUCAAUCAUUUGUCAAGUUUUACUUCUUUGAUCUGUUCUUCACAUCCAAAAGAUUCCCCCAGAUAUCUGUCUUGGCUUAUGUCUUGCCACCCUACGCUCUUAGAGUUUUAACUAAUAUCUUUAUGACUUUGUAGGGGCCAAGGGCAGGCUGCCCCAAGGUGAGCCACUUUGGCGUGAACAUUAUUUUGAAUUAAAAGCAAUGAGGGAAAAAAUAAAAAAUAAAAAAUAAAAGCAAU